rnacentral:rRNA from 1 species
AUGUACAUUCCUACAACAUAGCGUUAAUGCACCAAAUCCUAUUAGAGCUUCGCAAUUAAGCGUGCUUAGGAUAGAGUAGUACUGGGAUGGGUGAUCUCCCAAUAAGUCCUAGUGUUUUACAUG